GGGGCCCUUGUUCAGUGGGAGAACAUCUGUUUUUCAUACAGGAGGUCCCCGGUUCAAUCCACCGCCAUCUCCA
rnacentral:tRNA from 1 species